CUCUGAUUCAGCUGGAAGGAAAACGCCAACUCGCUCCCACCAGCCGAGCUUCCUCGCAGGCCUGCAGCAGCUUCUGAUGCCAGCAGCAGUUUGGUGGCUCUGAGGAAGGCUGGAGGGGAUUUUCGUUUUAUUGCUAUCAGCCCCAGCUGUCCUCAGGGGCCCAGGGCAGAGCGGCAUUUUCCGGGAGGCCACGCGGAGCCGUACAGGACAUGGUGUACACGGUGCCACCCGGGGAUGUGGUGCAAGGAAGGGAAACGCCAGAUUUGAGCUGAAGCAAAGUGGGGUACCAUUCCAGAUGAUGGCAUCACGGCUCUGUGCCACAGAAGGCAGAGGAUCUCUUCAGGUGGACUCCAGCCUGGCACGAGCCCUCCGUCCCCUUGCCCCAGUGCCACCACCGUGGGAUGGUGGGAGCACAGCCCUCUCGGGUGACAGAGACCUCUUAGCACCAUGACCACGCUUUGAGCUUGCGCGCUGUACCCCAUCCUUUUCAUCUGAGAGCCAUGGCCACCACUGGACUUGGUCCCAGAGGCUGAAGGACCAUCCCAGGAACUCGCCAUGACUCUUGGCUUCCCACCAGAUGGUCCCGUGGAACACAGAAGCCACGCUGCAGGUUGGUCUGUCGCAUUUCUGACUGCAGUCAGG